rnacentral:rRNA from 1 species
CUAGCGACUUCAGAGUUUGAUCCUGGCUCAGGAUGAACGCUGGCGGCGUGCCUAACACAUGCAAGUCGAGCGGGAUUUUCCGGAUUGAAGCUUCGGUAGAUUGAAGGAAAUGAGAGCGGCGGACGGGUGAGUAACGCGUAGGCAACCUGCCCUUUGCAGAGGGAUAGCCAUUGGAAACGAUGAUUAAAACCUCAUAAUACCGAGAGAAGACAUCUUUUUUCGGUCAAAGAUUUAUCGGCAAAGGAUGGGCCUGCGUCUGAUUAGCUAGUUGGUGAGGUAACGGCUCACCAAGGCGACGAUCAGUAGCCGACCUGAGAGGGUGAUCGGCCACAUUGGAACUGAGACACGGUCCAA